AAGCAUAUAAGUAAGCGGAGGAUAAGAAACUAAAUAGGAUUCCCUCAGUAAUGGCGAAUGAACAGGGAUCAGCUCAGCAUGGAAAUUGGGGCCCUCGGCCUUGAAUUGUAGUCUCGAGAUGCAUCGCCAAUGGAGGCGCAGAUGUAAGCCUCUUGGAAAAGAGCAUCAACGAGGGUGAGAGUCCCGUUUGUCAUCUGCAGUCCCCCAUGCACGGCGUGCCUUCUAAGAGUCGCGUUCCUCGGAAUUGGAGCGUCAAUUGGGUGGUAAAUUUCAUCUCAAGCUAAAUAUUGGUUCGAGACCGAUAGCAAACAAGUACCAUGAGGGAAAGGUGAAAAGGACUUUGAAAAGAGAGUUAAAAGUGCCUGAAAUUGCUGAAAGGGAAGCGAAUGGAACCAGUGUUGCUUGGCGAGAUUGUCGUACGCAUUCGCGUGUGGUGGUUCUUGCCUUGUGUGUCAACGCCAGUUCGCGAUCGAGGAAAACUCCAGGGACAUGGUAGCCUACCCCAGGGUGGGUGAAUGUGCCUGGUAGAACUCAUUUGCGGACUGUUUCCUUCGUGUCUGGUUGCAGUGCUGCUUGAUCCUGUGUUGGCGCUUGGGGGUGGGAGCUCGCUCCUCACACCCUGCCCUUCUAAGGUUCUCAGCGCUUCCCUGACACAUAGACGAUGACUAA
rnacentral:rRNA from 1 species